rnacentral:tRNA from 1 species
GCCCAGGUGGUGAAAUGGUAUACACGCAUGCUUGAGGUGCAUGUGCCGAAAGGCGUGGAGGUUCAAUUCCUCUCCUGGGCA